rnacentral:siRNA from 1 species
GUUGUUACAAUGUUAUACCAUGCC